CCUACGGGAGGCAGCAGUGAGGAAUAUUGGUCAAUGGACGCAAGCCUGAACCAGCCACGCCGCGUGCAGGAUGACGGCCCUAUGAGUUGUAAACUGCUUUUGUACGGGGGUAAAUUCCGUUACGUGAAUAGGGUUGAAAGUACCGUACGUAUAAGGAUCGGCUAACGCCGGGCCAGCAGCCGCGGGAAUACGGAGGAUUCAAGCGUUAUCCGGAUUUAUUGGGUUUAAAGGGUGCGUAGGCGGUUCGAUAAGUUAGUGGUGAAAUCACGGGGCUCAACUCCGGCACUGCCUCUGAUACUGUCGAGCUAGAGUGUAGGUGAGGUAGGCGGAAUGUGUGGUGUAGCGGUGAAAUGCAUAGAGAUCAGACAGAACACCGAUUGCGAAGGCAGCUUACCAGACUACGACUGACGUUGAGGCACGAAAGCGUGGGGAGCAAACAGGAUUAGAUACCCUGGUAGUC
rnacentral:rRNA from 1 species